rnacentral:rRNA from 1 species
CUACGGGAGGCAGCAGUGGGGAAUGUUGGACAAUGGGGGAAACCCUGAUCCAGCGACGCCGCGUGAAUGAUGAAGGCCUUAGGGUUGUAAAGUUCUUUCGUCCACGAGGAUGAUGACAGUAGUGGAAGAAGAAGCUCCGGCUAACUUCGUGCCAGCAGCCGCGGUAAUACGAAGGGGGCUAGCGUUGCUCGGAAUUACUGGGCGUAAAGCGCAUGUAGGCGGCGAUUCAAGUUAGAUGUGAAAGGCCCGGGCUCAACCCGGGAACUGCAUUUGAUACUGAAUUGCUAGAGUCCAAGAGAGGGUAGUGGAAUUCCCAGUGUAGAGGUGAAAUUCGUAGAUAUUGGGAAGAACACCAGUGGCGAAGGCGGCUACCUGGCUUGGUACUGACGCUGAGAUGCGAAAGCGUGGGGAGCGAACAGGAUUAGAUACCCCGGUAGUC